CUCAGUUCAGAUCGUAGGCUGCAACUCGCCUACGUGAAGGCGGAAUCGCUAGUAAUCGCAGGUCAGCAUACUGCGGUGGAUACGUUCCCGGGCCUUGUACACACCGCCCGUCACACCAUGGAAGUUGGCCACGCCCGAAGCCGUUACUCCAACCCUUGUGGAGGAGGACGUCGAAGGUGGGGCUGAUGACUGGGGUGAAGUCGUAACAAGGUAUCCGUACCGGAAGGUGCGGAUGGAUCACCUCCUAACAGGGAGACAACACAAUGAUUUUGAUGCCUGAGUGCUUUUAUUCUUAGGCCGAAAUCCUGUCACCUUAGGUCGAUCGGUACCUCAGCUUUGAAGUCAAGGAUCAGCAGCAAUGUUGAUUGCUUGAUGGAGAUUUUCAGUUCCUAAACUUUGUCUAGGUCACACCCCAAAAGGGAUGAGACUCCUGGGCCAUUAGCUCAGGUGGUUAGAGCGCACCCCUGAUAAGGGUGAGGUCCCUGGUUCAAGUCCAGGAUGGCCCAUUCGGUGUUGGGGGUUUAGCUCAGUUGGUAGAGCGCCUGCUUUGCAAGCAGGAUGUCAGGAGUUCGAGUCUCCUAACCUCCACUGACCGAACUUGAUUCCCAUCUCCAAUUUUUUGGAGUUGAGCUCGAUUGGAGUGUGAUUUAGAUGUGUCCGCUGGAUGACCCCAGCUUCCUGUCAUUCCAAGUUUUAGGUUUAAGCCUUGAAUUUGGUUGAUAAGAUGCUGGGCUCGGAUC
rnacentral:misc_RNA from 1 species